AAAUAAAACAUUUGACAUAAAAGUUCAUAUUUAAUAUGAAAUAAUAAUACAUAAUUAAUACGAAAUUACAUCAACUAAUAUCAUAUCAAUUGAAUAAAUGACAAAGAAUAGCAAAGGUGGGGAGAAAAAUCUGCCCCAUAAAUAAACAUAUAUACAUAUCUACUUCAAAAGAUAACAUUAAGGGAGGUAUGAGGGUGGGAAUUUUGAACAAAUUGUUUGAUAAG
rnacentral:lncRNA from 1 species